UCAGCCCCUAAUGCCAGCAGUCCCCUAGCCUGCUCUUUCACUGGAUACCUGUGUCUGAGUACUUCUUUCAUCUGUUGUUUGGCCAGAGUCUGCAGGACAGACUUGGCAGGUGGUGCCCCAUGUGAGGAAUACUGCAACAGAUCACAAUGGAACCCUCUAAAACGGAAGUGAAGAGACUGCACAGUCAGUAAGUCAGUCCUCUGUGGAUUCCAGCACGACACAUCAAACCCAUAUCAUGGUGUGGCUAGGACCCAACCUGGUAUCAGAAAUGAAGGAAAUGUCCCUGCAGAACCCACAGCCCUGGAUGAUGCAGCUUCCUCGGAUGACACAAGCCCCGGACAUUACCUAGGAAAUGCUGAAGAAGACAACUCAGGAGGCUGAGUGAAUCCUGCUCCAGAAACAGACACCAUUCACUUCAGAUAAUCUGUUCCUUGCUAUACUCUCUGUUGUACAUCACAACUCACAUAGGGAUGCAAAGCCAGAACAUGAGUUAUAACCGUGGCACCUGACAAACCUGUUGCUGCACACAUCUAUACUCUUCAAUCAACAAAACCUGAUGCAAAAAUCAGAAAAGGGGGAGAUGUAGGAGAUCAGUCAGGCUGGUAGGAAAAGUUAUAAAAAUUAUAGGGAAAAAGGCAAACCUUCUUGGAAGGCCAGGAGGUUUUGCAAAGCUUCAGGGAAGAAUGAGCUGAAGGCAGCUGUUCUUACCCUGGCAAAGGGUGAGGGCAGAUAACAAGGGAAUGUAAAGAAAUCUAUCUAGAUAAAUUUGUUCACUCCUGUCUCCAGAAACCAACCUUUGAUGAUUCGUGCUCAGGAUGCUCUCUACUCAGGGGGUCGACA